rnacentral:rRNA from 1 species
GGACCAAGGAGUCUAGCAUGUGCGCGAGUCAUUGGGAUUUUUACUAAACCUAAAGGCGCAAUGAAAGUGAAGGUCCGCCUUGCGCGGACCGAGGGAGGAUGGAACGUACCGAGGUGCGGUCUCGCACUCCCGGGGCGUCUCGUUCUCAUCGCGAGAAGAGGCGCACCCAGAGCGUACACGCUGGGACCCGAAAGAUGGUGAACUAUGCCUGGUCAGGACGAAGUCAGGGGAAACCCUGAUGGAGGUCCGUAGCGAUUCUGACGUGCAAAUCGAUCGUCGGAACUGGGUAUAGGGGCGAAAGACUAAUCGAACCAUCUAGUAGCUGGUUCCCUCCGAAGUUUCCCUCAGGAUAGCUGGCGCUCGCUUCUCGCGAGUCUCAUUCGGUAAAGCGAAUGAUUAGAGGCAUUGGGGUCGAAACGGCCUCAACCUAUUCUCAAACUUUAAAUGGGUGAGAUCUCCGGCUUGCUUGAACUGUGAAGCCGCGAGAUAUCGGAUCAGAGUGCCAAGUGGGCCACUUUUGGUAAGCAGAACUGGCGCUGUGGGAUGAACCAAACGCAGAGUUAAAGCGCCUAAAUCGACGCUUAUGGGAUACCAUGAAAGGCGUUGGUAACUUAAGACAGCAGGACGGUGGCCAUGGAAGUCGGA